UACGUAGGGGGCAAGCGUUGUCCGGAAUCAUUGGGCGUAAAGCGCGUGUAGGCGGCCCGGUAAGUCCGUUCUGAAAGCCCGGGGCUCAACCCCGGGAGGCGGAUGGAUACUGUCAGGCUCGAGUCCGGAAGAGGCAAGUGGAAUUCCCGGUGUAGCGGUGAAAUGCGCAGAUAUCGGGAGGAACACCAAUGGCGAAGGCAGCUUGCUGGGACGGUACUGACGCUGAGACGCGAAAGCGUGGGGAGCAAACAGG
rnacentral:rRNA from 1 species